rnacentral:rRNA from 1 species
GGGGAAUUUUGGACAAUGGGCGCAAGCCUGAUCCAGCCAUGCCGCGUGAGUGAAGAAGGCCUUCGGGUUGUAAAGCUCUUUCGGCCGGGAAGAAAUCGCAUGGGUCAAUACCCUGUGUGGAUGACGGUACCGGAAUAAGAAGCACCGGCUAACUACGUGCCAGCAGCCGCGGUAAUACGUAGGGUGCGAGCGUUAAUCGGAAUUACUGGGCGUAAAGCGUGCGCAGGCGGUUUGGUAAGUCAGAUGUGUAAUCCCCGGGCUCAACCUGGGAACUGCAUUUGAGACUGCCAAGCUGGAGUUUGGCAGAGGGGGGUGGAAUUCCACGUGUAGCAGUGAAAUGCGUAGAGAUGUGGAGGAACACCGAUGGCGAAGGCAGCCCCCUGGGCCAAUACUGACGCUCAUGCACGAAAGCGUGGGGAGCAAAC